AUACAUUCCUCCAUCGUUAACCUUGUGAAUACGUACUAAUUCUUACGCCUGAGCUAUCCCCCGACGGAACCGCCAUCAAGCUUUCGGUGUUGACUGUGUUUACUGUGCAGGAUCAGGACGUCUUACGUGAUUGGGACGUGGAGAAAGAUCCUGGCGUUAACAUUGGCGCUAGAAGGAGGGGUUUGAGUUCUAGUGUCAUUAAAAUUUUCAAUCACAAUCGUUUAACCUACUUCGGAAGAUGAUGAGGAGUAGGGAUGGUACGCCAGAAGGGCAGGCGAUGGCUGUUAGCUCGUCACUGCCUCGUGUUUCGGUGAAGGAUCGUCUGGGUCCUUCCAAGAGUGCUCACGAGAGCACGGCUUCUAAGCAUAAUUCAGGGGAUCUCCGU
rnacentral:lncRNA from 1 species